rnacentral:rRNA from 1 species
GCUUGCUCCGCUGACGAGUGGCGAACGGGUGAGUAAUGUAUCGGAACGUACCAUUCAGUGGGGGAUAACGUAGCGAAAGUUACGCUAAUACCGCAUAUUCUGUGCGCAGGAAAGCAGGGGAUCGCAAGACCUUGCGCUGAUUGAGCGGCCGAUAUCAGAUUAGCUAGUUGGUGGGGGUAAAAGCUCACCAAGGCGACGAUCUGUAGCGGGUCUGAGAGGAUGAUCCGCCACACUGGAACUGAGACACGGUCCAGACUCCUACGGGAGGCAGCAGUGGGGAAUUUUGGACAAUGGGGGCAACCCUGAUCCAGCCAUGCCGCGUGAGUGAAGAAGGCCUUCGGGUUGUAAAGCUCCUUCGGCCGGGAAAAAAUCGCAUGGGUUAAUACCCUGUGUGGAUGAUGGUACCGGAAUAAGAAGCACCGGCUAACUACGUGCCAGCAGCCGCGGUAAUACGUAGGGUGCGAGCGUUAAUCGGAAUUACUGGGCGUAAAGCGUGCGCAGGCGGUUUUGUAAGACAGGCGUGAAAUCCCCGGGCUCAACCUGGGAACUGCGCUUGUGACUGCAAGGCUAGAGUAUGGCAGAGGGGGGUGGAAUUCCACGUGUAGCAGUGAAAUGCGUAGAGAUGUGGAGGAACACCAAUGGCGAAGGCAGCCCCCUGGGCCAAUACUGACGCUCAUGCACGAAAGCGUGGGUAGCAAACAGGAUUAGAUACCCUGGUAGUCCACGCCCUAAACGAUGUCAACUAGGUGUUGGGAGGGUAAAACCUUUUAGUACCGGAGCUAACGCGUGAAGUUGACCGCCUGGGGAGUACGGCCGCAAGGUUAAAACUCAAAGGAAUUGACGGGGACCCGCACAAGCGGUGGAUGAUGUGGAUUAAUUCGAUGCAACGCGAAAAACCUUACCUACCCUUGGCAUGUCCAGGAGCCUGAAGAGAUUUGGGUGUGCCCGAAAGGGAACUGGAACACAGGUGCUGCAUGGCUGUCGUCAGCUCGUGUCGUGAGAUGUUGGGUUAAGUCCCGCAACGAGCGCAACCCUCGUCGUUAAUUGCCAUCAUUCAGUUGGGCACUUUAACGAGACUGCCGGUGACAAACCGGAGGAAGGUGGGGAUGACGUCAAGUCCUCAUGGCCCUUAUGGGUAGGGCUUCACACGUCAUACAAUGGUCGGUACAAAGGGUUGCCAACCCGCGAGGGGGAGCCAAUCCCAGAAAGCCGAUCGUAGUCCGGAUUGCAGGCUGCAACUCGCCUGCAUGAACUCGGAAUCGCUAGUAAUCGUGGAUCAGCAUGUCACGGUGAAUACGUUCCCGGGUCUUGUACACACCGCCCGUCACACCAUGGGAGCGGGUUCCGCCAGAAGUAGGUAGCCUAACCGCAAGGGGGGCGCUUACCACGGCGGGGUUCGUGACUGGGGUGAAGUCGUAACAAGGUA